AGUCCUCCCUCCUCCCGGUCCGUGCUCCCACUGGGGGCUCCCACCUCCCAUUCCUCCCUCCUCCCGGCCUGUGCUCCCACUGGGGGCUCCCACCCUGCAGUCCUCCCUCCUCCUGGCCUGUACUCCCCCUGGGGGCUACCACCUCCCAUUCCUCCCUCCUCCUGGCCUGUGCUCCCACUGGGGGCUCCCACCCUGCAGUCCUCCCUCCUCCCGGUCUGUGCUCCCACUGGGGGCUCCCACCCUGCAGUCCUCCUUUCUCCUGGCCUGUACUCCCCCUGGGGGCUACCACCUCCCAUUCCUUCCUCCUCCUGGUCUGUGCUCCCACUGGGGGCUCCCACCCCGCAGUCCUCCCUCCUCCCAGCCUGUGCUCCCCCUGGGGGCUUCCAUCCCUCAGUCCUCCCUCCUCCCAGCCUGUGCUUCCCCCGGGGGCUCCCACCCCUCAGUCCUCCCUCCUCACCUCCCACUGUCCCAGGGGGUGUGGUGGGGAGUGAGCUGGAAGGCACAUAAUCCCUGAGGACAGCGCUCAGCACGCCUGCCAGAAACCAGUUCCGGGCAACGUUUGUUCCUAUUCAUGACGAGCAUGUCUCGUACCCAGGACCCCCUCUCCAACCCCAUGGCCACUCGGACCAGGCCGCCCACCCCCCUCUCCUGGGACCCUCUGAGCUGCACGACCCAGCUGGCUGGAUGCUGUCCGAUGGCCACCCCCCUCAGUCCAGUCCACAAUGUGGGGUUCUUUCAUGCCCUCCCCGCUUUUUCUAAGAAGAAAACAGCCUUUCAGGGAGCUGUGCCUGCUGGAGUCAGGCCCUAUGUGGGUCACGGCCGGCACGGGAACCGGUCGGCCUGGGUUUCGCAGGUGGGGCUGCGGGAUCCCCUUCCAUCCGCCCUCUGAGAGCAGAGGCCACGCAGACGGGCACCCCCAUCCCGGGGCUGUGAGGGGAUGCCCCAGGAGCGGCAGGAAAGCCAGGAGACCCGUCAACCCUGGGCUUUCUGGGGACACGGCCGGGCUGAGCCAGGUGGCUGGUGGGGCAGGGGAUGUGAUGUUUCAGCUGUAGUUUUCCAGGGGUUUGAUGUCAGAUACAGCACGUGGGUGGGAACUCCUUCCGUAACUUGGGGUCCCACCCUUGGAUCCGGUCCUGGUCUCCACCCCCAGGUGGCAUUGAGUUGUUUCGGGGGUUAGGACCUCCCAGUCACACGGGAGGGCCAGAGUCCCGCUCCCAGAAAUCGUCCUGGAAUGCGCCCCCCCCCGAAGCGGGCGCUGGGGUCCGGGGGAGAGCCGUGGUCCGGGCGGCCGGGGGGCGGGUGUGAGGCCUGCGGGGAGCACGUCCCAGGCUGAGCUGGACCCCAGGGCCCGGAGCCCGGAGCCAGGCCGACGGAAGCAGCCUCGGAGCGUCUGACCUCGUGACAGAGCCAAAGACAGGCUUUACCACUGAGCCCCAGACCCCAAAGGCGGGAAGCUUCUGGAGCCGGACGAGGGCCUGAAGGACAGCGAUUGUGUCCAUCGGAAGGAGAAACAGGAGAACGGCCCAGAAACCCUGACCAUGAAGGGGCUGGCGCAGCUGCGGGCCACAGCCUGUCACCAAGCGGGCCUCCGGCACCCUGCAGGCAGCCGCGGGCACAGGGCGAUGGAGACUGUGAGGUUGACAGACUUGUGGAACUUAGUUCCCGUCUGGGGGCUCCACACAGAGCCACGCAAGUGACAGGUCACAUGCUGCCCGUCCGUCGGAAAGGGUUGGCCGCCAAGCUGUGCGCUGGGGGUGGGGCUGGGUGAAGGGAGCAGGGAACAGUUUCCGGUGGGUGGGACAGCAUGGGUGAGACCCCUGAGGCAGGCAGGGGACGGCCGACUGAGUGAGGAGAGGCCCGUGGGAACGCGGACGUUUGCUGAAGGUGCGGAUGCUCCGUGAGGUCACCGAGGCCAGGUCACAGGAGCCCCUGGACCACGUGCAUAAUGUGGAUUUUGUCUGCGUGGUGGCGGCUGGUGGAGGGACACAAGCGGGGUGACAUUCUGGCGAUGUUCCUGGGCUAUGAGGCUGUGGGGGUCACCCACUCUCCCCAAGGCCAGGCUGGCGGGGAGGGGGAGGUGAGCUCGGACUCCGCCCCGAGGCUGCCCUUUCCUGUCGCCCCCUCCUCUCUUGCCCUGGGAGCCGCAGGACUGUCAGCCCCCCACCCCGUGGACAGGCCUAGCUGCUCUUACCAUCAUGAUGCCCACCUGUGUCUGACGGGGGAGGUGCUGCCCGGCCCUGCCUUUCUGGGGCCCGCCAUCACCCACAGACACAGCGAGACCACCAGCUCCUGACCACAGAGAGCUCACUCGUGCCUUCACCAAAGGAGUGUCCCUGCGGGCAACCCCGGCUGGGCCCUGGGAUCUCAGGUGACAGCCCACAGCUCCUCUGGGCCUUCCUCUGCCCUGGGAGGGGUGUAGGGUGUGCAUCCUGGGGUGGGUCUUGGGGACAGGACGGCCGUGCUGGACAGGACGGCAGGCACCUGGGCAGGUGAUUCUGUGCUCACACACGAUGGUCACCGUGCACGCCUGGCCUUGGUGGCCCCGGGACCGUCACGGCCAUGUCGGAGGCUAACCCAGAAAGCCCUGGUUGGCUUAAACGCGUGGCUGACACAUCCUGGCAGACUGGAGAUCAAGCCCACGCUGUGGGAGCCACCGAAGGAGUCUAAUGAGAGUGAUAGUCCAAAGUGGCUGCUUACGGGAGGGUUCGAGGGUGGCCUAGAGUUUCCCGAGUUAAGGUGCCGCAGGACGUUUGAGCCACUCGGGUAGAGUGUCCCGCCAGUCUCUGUACAGCUCGGCCCAGGGUGUGUUUACGCACUAAGAGGGCUCGGGUGCCACCAAGUGGCCAUCCUGGGGACAUCAACGCCCGUCCCCAUGGAACCACCAGUAUCUUUUCCUUCUGUGGGAGCAAGUCUCUGCAUUUGAGUUCAAUCUUUCCGAUUUCGAAGUGAGGAAACCCACGAGAUGUCUUGCUUAGCAGUGAGCUGACACUUUCCCCUUGGGUUUGAAACUACUCAUUCUGUGCGCGCUUCAGCUCCAGUCCUGCCGAUGCUUCUGGUAAGUCACUGAUUUCCUUCUUGCGUUAGGGUAACAGAGAGGGCGAGGCAUCCCUCUGCGGCGACACCAGAUCGUGAAACCCUGGAAGCCGAUCUGUCAUCAGUGUGGCUGGUGACUCCACCCGUGAGGUCCCGGAGCCACAUGCCCCCUGAGGCCCCGGAAGACACAGCCCUGGGCUGCUCCCGAGCUUGGCGCUUAAGGCGGGAAACAGACUUCAAUUUUUUAAAAGAUAGGGACGGGCCACGGAAAGGACCACGACAGGGCUGUCUAUGGGAGUGUGGGUCGUGGGGACUGGUGUUCUGUGAUGUGGGAAACCUUAAAUUUCCUCACUGCGUCCAGCCCCUGGACAAGUCCCUGGGACAGGCAGAGUCACCGCCCUCUGGGAGCCCAGCUGCCUCGAUGAUGACACUUCGCUAAGGGCAAAAGGCGAUCUUAGCUUGACCUCAUCCCGACCUCUGGGAUCCUGAUUUUGAUAGGAAUGGUACUAAAAAAUGUAUAUCAACUUGAGGAGAAUUGACAUCUCUGCUAUGUUGAGCCUUUCAACUCAUAAACACAAGCUUCCUGCGCUCUGAUGAGUAAGAGUUGGGAGCAGGUGUCCUUGCCACGUUCCUAAGUAUUCACCAUCCAUUCAUCAUUGAUGAGAGUCUUCAUCAUUGCCCGCUCUGUUAUAGGAGAAUCCAGCAAUUUCCCACCCAUCUGUGUCUACACCCUGGAACGACUGCGUGAUCCAGGAGCCAUCUGAUGGCAGCGUGCUGGUUCUCACCCAUACGUUCGGAAGAUCUGGAACUGUUUCUUAUUUUCUAUAGUUAUUGUUCUUUUAAAGUUUUCUCGGUAAAAAUUAAACAUAGAGAUGUCAUGCAACCCAGAAAUUCCACUUGUGGGUACUUAUCUGAAGAAAAUGAAAACACUAAUUCCAAAAGAUACACGUACCCCACGAUCACGGCAGCACCAUUUACGAUGGCCAAGAUACGGCAGCCGCCCAAAUGUCCUCCAUAGACGAACGGAUGAAGAAGAUGGGUGUGUAUGCAAUGGAAUAGUACCUAGCCAUAAAAAGAGUGAAAUCUUGCCACUCGUGACAACGUGGAUGGACCUAGAGUGUAUUAUGAUAACUGAAAGACAGAGAAAGACAAGCACCAUUUGAUUUCACUCAUAUGUGGAAUCUAAAAAACAAAACAAAUGAAGAAACAAACCGCGAAGCAAAACACGAAGGCAUAAAUACAGAGAACA